CGUACACUCCUGCGGGAGGCAGCAGUGGGGAAUAUUGCACAAUGGGCGCAAGCCUGAUGCAGCCAUGCCGCGUGUAUGAAGAAGGCCUUCGGGUUGUAAAGUACUUUCAGCGGGGAGGAAGGCAAUACGGUUAAUAACCGUGUUGAUUGACGUUACCCGCAGAAGAAGCACCGGCUAACUCCGUGCCAGCAGCCGCGGUAAUACGGAGGGUGCAAGCGUUAAUCGGAAUUACUGGGCGUAAAGCGCACGCAGGCGGUCUGUCAAGUCGGAUGUGAAAUCCCCGGGCUCAACCUGGGAACUGCAUUCGAAACUGGCAGGCUUGAGUCUUGUAGAGGGGGGUAGAAUUCCAGGUGUAGCGGUGAAAUGCGUAGAGAUCUGGAGGAAUACCGGUGGCGAAGGCGGCCCCCUGGACAAAGACUGACGCUCAGGUGCGAAAGCGUGGGGAGCAAACAGGAUUAGAAACCCGUGUAGUCCCAUG
rnacentral:rRNA from 1 species